rnacentral:lncRNA from 1 species
CUAGAGGGUGGCUUAGGUUCUGCGACGGGUUCUCCAAGAUCUUCACUCUUGCUUCACAUCUGGCUUCACUGCUUCCUUUGCUGCGCUGACGGAUCCAACAGUCUUCUGGAGCUUCGACAGACAAUUGACGGCACCUUCUUCUUCACAGAACUAAUCAUCUAGUACUAGUUGAAAAUCCGAAGAAGGAAGAAUGGAGUAAACCUUUUGCAAAUAGCAUUAGGGGAAGGAGAAAAAGGAACUUUCGCAAAUAAUUUUAUUUAUAAAAUAUGUCCUUAGGUUUUAUCCACUUGGCUUAUCCUACAGUCGAGAUGGCUCUGAUACCAUCUUGUCGCGACCGGGAAAAUUGCAUUUUCCCGAACGCUAGUGUAUUAAUCCCCGUCCCAGGAAAAGCCGGGGUACACCAUACAAACAUGAUAUAAAAGACACAUCUUUAUUAUAUCGAUAAUAUUUACAUUAUUACAAAGGCACUUAAGGCCUGACAAUCAAAAAUAAACAGCAGCGGACUAGCGGGCCUACGGCUCCAUCUUCACAGGCGCUCAACUGGGGUAUAAGCCAGGACUCCACCUAAGACAUCUUCUCCAAAGCUUCUCUUACUGAAGGGGGAAAAGAUUGAGCAAGAAUGAGUACAACCACGGUACUCAGCAAGCCACACCGGCAGAUGCAUGAUUAAUGCAAGGGGGUACAAGGGGUAAUAAUAUAGGGGUUAAGUUUUGCAGAAAAGCAGCAUUUAAAAGCCACUUAGUUGCCCAAAGCCAUUUUAUAAAGACGAUCCUAGAGCUACACAGUAUUAUUAAACAAGGCCGUGAACCCUCACGAACCUGCCUUAACCCAAGGCCUACGAUGAUUCAGUCCGAACUGGCAACCCGACCAUGGGUCCCAGCUCGUCCCAAGCCAACCCAGGCCAACCAUUCCACAUUUUAGUUGUUGAGCAAAUUUUAAGAAUUAAAACACUGACUUGGGUACAUUGCUCGGCUUGCCCAUAACCGAGGGCGCGGCUAUUCGAAUAGAUUAUACUCUGAUCAGAGGUGUACAUCUUUACCCACAAGACACAUCUUCCUCACGUGGAACCACGUGCCACAUACCACCACGGUAUACGGAUGGAAGACGUGACAUAGUUUCCAACCCAUCCUAGCCAUAGACAAGAGUACCGACCCAAUCCCACCUACGGCCGGAACCUUCGGGACAGGCAGGCAGGACUGAGCCCCUAGCAGCAGGGCACCAACCCUGUGCCAUGACAUCUCGACUACCGGGCCGCAGCUCGUGUAGCCUUCAUUUGUCCUAGAGAAUGUCCAUCGACCCCCGACUUCAUCCAUCUCCAUCCGUGUACUUUUGUUUAUGACCAGAUUGAGCCACAAACUAAGCCUUACCCACUAGACAUGUGGAAGUACGGUAGUGCUUUGCAACAGAGGCCCGAGCUUAAUCCUUAUAGUGGCCGGGGUGCUACUUCCCACGACUGGCAUGCACCCAAACCCCACCGAAAACAGGUUUUAGGGGUUUUGAAAGAGGAAGAGAGGUGUAUGUCCAAUUCCACCAUAAACCAACAAUUCCAUAGUGUCCGAAUGAUAUGAGAAUUCCCAAAGUCUAAAGUUAUAAAACCACCUAAUAUUGCCUAAUUAAUCAGCGAAGCAUCUACCUAAAUUCAUACUAGUGGAACCAUGAAUAGAGUACCCACUAGUUGGGGUUUUGUUUAUCCUAGGGUGAACAAGGUAAUAAUAACAAUAGCAACAAUAAUAAGGUCAUAACAAAGGUAAAUAGGCAUGGCUAAAUAAAACAGUGAUAACGCGGGAAUUUAAAUAAAGCGAUAAUGCAUUAAUUUAAAUUAAAAUAAUUUUAUAAACUGGGAUUCAAUAUGCUCAAGGAUGAUGUGACUUGCCUUGCUCAGAGAGAACGGCCUUCCGAACCUUCGGCGACGACCACGAACCACGCUUCGGGAACCUCCGGAACGACAGAAGCUACGCGAAGCACACAAGCAAAGCUACAAGCCUAUAAAGAAGCAAUAACAAUACAUAAAAAGAAAGCACAGGGUUCUUUAGGUUAUAACAAACAUUAAGAGACUUGAACAGGUCGAUUCGGAGCUCGUAUGACCAAGAUAUGAUCAUCCGAAGUUUAAUGCUGUUACAUGGAGAUUUGCGGAUUAUUGUAAUUAGGUUUUGCAACUAUAAAACAUGUGGAAGCGCUAGCCUGGAAAAGACAGGAAGGCUGCGCCGUUGACAUGCGGACCCCACAUGUCAACCUAAAGGACCGCGGUAGACCGAGUACACAGAGGCGGUCCCCGGGUCGACGGAAGCAGACCCCGUGUGUCAACCGAGGCGAGUGGCCGACAAACGGACUCCACUAAACACCACACGGCCUGCACACGUGAAAACCACGCGGCUACCGAGCGGGCACACUAACACGGACACUACACGGUCACCACCCGCACGCGUGAACGACUACCGACACCGGUACACGGGUACCAGGGCCGACAACCGCACAACGAGCACGGGCGACACCGAAAGGACGAGGACGGGGCAGCGAGGGAGAGGGAUCCUUACCACCACGCGACGAGGCACGGGAACGACAACGACGAACGGGCGCGGCGGAGACAGACGGGCACAACGGAGACGAACGGCAAGGGGACGGCUUCGGCGGCGAUCCUUGGACGAAGGCGAGACGCGGCCGGCACGAGGCUUGACGACGCGGAGCUGAGGACGAAGACGAGGACGGGGGCUGCAGCGGCACACUUGACGAACGCGGACGACGGACGAGAACGGCUCGACGGAGGGACGAACGCCACGACGACCGGGAACGACGAGAGGACGACGACGACGACGAUGACCGGGGCCGGCGAGGAGACGACGAGGACAGCCGGCAGCGGCUGCACGGGGACGAGGACAGCGUGGAACACGCCGCAGCGAUGUUGAUGACGGAGGCGGCGCCGCGAGACGACGAGCCGGGCGACCGACGGGACGUCGAUCGGCGAGGACGAACGGUGACGAGGAAACGAUGAUGGCAGGCAGCAGCGGCUGAGCGGGGACGGCGUGGAACGCGCUGCUGCGAUGUUGGAGAAGGUGGUGGUGCAGCGGGGCGACGAGCCGACGAGGAGGAAUGGGUGGCCGAAAGGACGCCGGCGACGAAGAGGAUGGAGAGGCCGGCGCGGCGACGGCGUUCCGGCGAAACCGAGGAGCAGCCGGAGGAGAGGACGAUACCGCGACGUCGACGGAGGAGACGGCGACGUCGGUCGGCGUACCGGCGACGUACAGGAGCCGACCGAAGACGGGGAGGUACUGGAUGCCGACGAGGAGGCCACUCCGGCGAGCUUCGGGCGAGGAGGAGGUGAUGCCGGGGAUGAGGGCGGCGUCGCGGAGCCGAGGGAGGUGGUGGCGACGUCGACCGGCUCUCAGGCAGGGAGAUAGAGGCGGCUGGAGGCGGCCGGCGCGGAGGAAAGGGAAGGGCGACGGCGGAAACGUAGCUUCGGGGGUCUCCGCGCGAAACGGAGGGUAGGCCGGCGAAGAGGAGGUGGCGGCGACGCUGGAGGAGGCGACGGCACGGCCGGCCGGUGCGCGGGCGAGGCGGCACAGGCGGCUGGAGGCGGCCGGCGGCGUGGGAGAGAGAGGAGGGCGGCGGGGAGAUGGCUAGGGACCACGGGGAGGCUCGGGAGGGGGCUAAAACGAGAGAACGGGGGAUGAGGAUCCCAUUUUAUAUGAGAGAAGAGGGAGCCGGCCACGGGGGAGGUCGGAACGGCGGCGGGAAUGGCGGCCGGCGGCCAUGGGAGGCAGCCGAGGAAGACGCGGGCGUUCCCGGCGAUUGGGGGCGGCAUUCAAGGGGGAAUUAAGGGGAAAGAGAGAGGAGGGAAAGGGGAUUAAUUCCCCCUAAUCAAUUUUGGAAUCCAUCGCUUAAAUCGCGCGGAUUCGAGGGAGGAACGAAGCUAGGGUUCACGGGAGAGAAGAGAGAGAGAGGAUGCCGGGCGGGAGGAAGGAGACGACCGGGCGGGUGGGACCCACCGGUCAGGCGGCGGCGCCAGUGCGCGCACGCGCGCGGCACGGGCGGGAGGCGCGGCUCGGCUUGGGCCGGGCGAAGCCGAGGCGGCCCAGGAGGAGAGGAGGGAGAGGAGGCCCGGGAGAGAGAGGAGAGGGGAGGGGAGGGAGCUGGGCCGGGAGGGGAGGAGGGGCCCAAGAGGAGGAGAGAGAGAAGGAGAGGGAGAGAAAGAGAGGGAGGUGGGCCGAGCCGGCCCAAGAGGGGAAGGGGGGGGGAGAAAAAGACUUUUUAGGGUUUUUUUCUUUUUAUAAAACCUUUUUAACUUUGUUUAUUUCUUCUUAAUUAUUAUUUGUGCUCUGAAAAUUCCACUAAAAUUUGAGGGCUCCUUUUUGACCAAGGAGAAUUUAACAAAAAUUCUCCGGGCCACAUUUGAAUUUUUCUUGUACGUAUUUUAAUGUUUGCCAAUUUCUUUUCGAAUUUUAAUUAAUUCUAUUAUUCCUUUUAGAAAAUGAUUUUUAUUUCGGGAUGAAUUUAUCAGGACGUGACAGCAGUACCGGACAAAGAUAAAGAAAAGAAGCACAAUUUAAAAGUAUCGGAACUACUAGCCUCCCCACAUUGCGCUAAGAAUUGACCUACAUGCUCCCAUGUGGUCCUACUAUCCUCUCCACUAAAUUUGGUAAAUUCGGGAACUCUAUAACCACGAGGAUAUGGCAUAUAGUCAUAAUAGUCAGGAUACGGCUUUUGGUAGACCUUAGCAUGAUUCCUAGCUUCAAUCCCGAAUUUAUCCCUAAUGAUUCCACUAAUUAAUUCCUCCAUAUUAUCAAGCCUAUGUUGAUUUGGUGGUGGGUUUGGUGGCCUAAUAGGUUGUGGUUGCGGCGCAAUAUAAUUAUAUUGGCCAUGCCUAGUAUCAGGAGGAUACCCCCUAGAAACAUCAUUAUAAGCAUUAGAAACAUGUGGGGGAAUUUGGGAACUAGUAGUGUGUUGUCGAAACGACAACUGCAUACGUCGAAAGAUGUGGUUACUUAACAGUGGUUGGAAAGAAACGAAGUGUAUUAGUUUUUUUUUGGAAUUUCUCUUUCUUCGGUCCCCCCAUUACAUGGUCCUAGGGGGCUAUUUAUAGCCCCAUUACAGAUUCUUACUACUAGGGUUUAAGUUAUACUGAGGAAUUUACAUGGUUGCCCUUAUGAAAGGGACAUUUACAGGGUUACAUAGUGUCAAGGGGGCUUAUGGGCCCUUGAUGGGCCGUUGGGCGAUCGCCGGCCCUAUAGCCCCUAAGCUUGAUGGGCCGGAAAGGCUUCUUCGGCCCUUGCGGGGGCGAACUGGACAUGGCGAAGCCGUCCUUCUUCGAGCUGGAUGCCAGGGGCGAACUGGUCAUGGCGAAGUCGUCCUUAUUCGGCAGGUACUCACGUGACCCUUCGCCUCGCAUCAUCCUUGGUUCAUAGCCUUCGCCACGGGUUUCGGCAGAUUUGGUCGAAGGGCCUCAUGACAUCCGCCAACAAGCCCCUCACGGGCAAGGGUGAGAGUGGAGCUUCGGCCGAGACCGUGCAAACCAUGUGGUAUGGUAUGUGGCGCCCCCUUUCGUCCGAUGCUCCUGUCGAAACCUACACUGUUCCUGCAAAUAAAAUAUUCUUACUUUUACCAGGCGGAAGGGAACAGUAUUGGGCUUUCCUUUGAUGGGCCUUUUACUGUGCUGCUCGGAUGAUGUGAAUUUACCGUUUCGCCUAUCCCUGCGCCACGUGGCGCUUUUAUGGGUUUUUUACUGUGCUGCUCGGAUAAUGGGAUUUUACCGUUACGCCUACCCUUGCGUCACGUGGCGCCUUAUGAGUGGUGGGUAGGCGAAACGUCGGCUUGGUGGGCUAUAUAUUCCCACCCCUUUCCUUUUCACCGCCACACUUGCCACUUUUACUGUGUGCGCUCCCUUCUUCCGUUAUUUCCUUUCACGGCGUCUCUUGAACCCAUAGGUGCUUCACCCAUCCUCUUGUUUCUCCACCGCACACACACCUUUCGCUAUUGUCGCGUCCCAAAACGACCCUAAAAUACAUCCUCUAAAUUAUGCCUAGAAUAAUUAAAAUACUUGUGAAAGCCUUCAAAAAUAAAAAUGUGCAAAGUUAAAAGUCAAUUAAGGCUUGGAGGAUUUUUGUAUAUUUCCUAAAAGCCUAAAAUGUGUAAAUAAAUUUUAGUGGAAUUUUCAGAGCACAAAUAAUAAUUAUUAAGAAAUAAACAGAGUUAAAAAGGUUUUAUAAAAAGAAAAACCCUAAAAAUCCCCCUUCUCUCUCUUGGGCCGAAUCCGGCCCAUUUCCCUCCCCCUCUCUCCUCUUCCCCGCGGCCCAUCCGGCCUCUCCCUCGCGCGCGCCGCUGACGGGCGGGCCCGCCCGCCACCCUCGCUGACGGGUGGGGCCCACCCGCCAUCCCCUUCCUCCCGCUGCUCCCGCCGCCUCGCCCGCGCCUAGCGCCGCCGCCGCCGCGAAUCCCGCCGCCUCCGUCGUCCCCGUGUGAAAUCAAUAGGGGGGAAUUACUCCCCGUGAUCCCCUCUCCCUUUCCCCCCAUUUUCUCCUCUCUCUCCCUCAUUCAAACGGGCGGAUUUGCCCCCGCAAAUCUCGCCAGCGCCAUUGAUGGCGGCCGGACCUCCCGGCCGGUUUCCUUCCUUCCCCGGCCGCCCUCUGUCACGACCGGAAAUAACCCAACGGGCGUUCCUGACGUGCGUGCAUUAAUCCUUGUCCCAGGAGGCAAGGUACACCAAAAGUUGAUACAAUUCAGAGUUUAACAAGCGGAAGCGUAAAUAGUUAACUUAUUACAUGGGCAGCAAAGGCCCAGCACACACAGAGACAAACGAGAAACAGCGGAAGACUAGGGCGACGACCACAGGCGCUUGACGGCAGGCACGAGCUAGACACCAAAGCCUUCAUCUUCAAGGAGCUCCUCUUGUGGGCUUGGGAAAAAUUGAGCAAGACUGAGUACAACCACCGUACUCAACAAGACACACCCACAAAUGCAGAAUAAAUGCAAGGGAGUACAAGGGAAUUAUACCAUAAAGGGUUAGGGUUGCAGUAAACAGCAUUUAAAGACAUUUAGUUGCUCAAAGCUAUUUUGUAAACACGAUCCUGGAACUAUACAAUGUUAUUAAACAAGGCCGUGAACCCACACGAACCUGCCUUAACCCAAGGCCUACGAUGAUUCAGACCGAACUGGCAACCCGACCCUGGGUCCCAGCUCGUCCCAAGCCAACCCAGGCCAACCAUUCCACAUUUUAGUUGUUAAGCAGGUUUUAAGAAUUGAAACACUAACUUGGGUACAUUGCUCGGCUUGCCCAUAACCGAGGGCGCGGCUAUUCGAAUAGAUUAUACUCUGAUCAGAGGUGUACAUCUUUACCCACAAGACACAUCUUCCUCACGUGCAACCACGUGCCACAUACCACCACGGUAUACAGACGGAAGCUGUGACAUAGUUUCCAACCCAUCCUAGCCAUAGACAAGAGUACCGACCCAAUCCCACCUACGGCCGGAACCCCCGGGACAGGCAGGCAGGACUGAGCCCCUAGCAGCAGGACACCGGCCCUGUGCCAUGACAUCUCGACUACCGGGCCGCAGCUCGUGUAGCCUUCAUUUGCCCUGGAGAAUGUCCAUCGACCCCCGACUUCAUCCACCUCCAUCCAUGUACUUUUGUUUAUAACCAGACUGAGCCACAAACUAAGCCUUACCCACUAGACAUGUGGAAGUACGGUAAUGCUUUGCAACAGAGGCCCGAAGACCGGUCCUUAUAUGGCCGUGGUGCUACUAUCAAAACCAUGCACCCCGAGCCCAGCCUAAAACCAUUUUGGGGAUUUUGAAUAGAAGGAGCGGUGUGAAGCCAAUUCCACAGUAACCAAACCAUUCCAUAGUGUCCAAGUGAUAUGAAUAUUUCCCAAAGUCUAUAGUUGAAAAACCACCUAAUGUUACCUAAUUAAAUUGCGAAGCAUCUACCUAAAAUCAUACUAGGGAUACCAUGAGUAGAGUGUCCACUAGUUGAGGUUUUGUUUAUUCUAGGUUGAACAAGGUAAUAAUAACAAUAACAAUAAUAAUAAGGUCAUAACAAAGGUAAAUAGGCAUGGCUAAAUAAAACAGUGAUAACACGGGAAUUUAAAUAAAGCGAUAAUGCAAUAAUUUAAAUCAACAUAAUUUUAUAAACUGGGAUUCAAUAUGCUCAAAGAUGAUGUGACUUGCCUUGCUCGCUUUCCCAAACGUCGGCUUCAACUUCCACGAAGAGCGGGUCUUCCGAAGCUGCAGCGUCUACACGACCAACGGAAAAGAAAAGGCUUUUACUCUAAUAAACUCCACAUAAUAGCAGAAACAAAGCAUAAAAAAUGGGUUCUUGACUUCUUAAGGAAAAAUUAGAGACUUGAACGGUCCAAUUCCGAGUUCAAAUGGCCAAGUUAUGGCCAUUUGAAGUUUAUAUGCUCUUUAAAUGGAUAUUUGCGAAUUUCUUCAUUUAAAUUUUAAUUAAAAACCGGAUUUAUUGCGUCAGCCGAGAGAGAGGGCGCGCGGACCGGGUCCACGGGAGUGGGGCCCACGCGUCAGCCUCUCGGUCCACGGUGGACCGGGCGCACGCGGCUGACGCCGACCGGCGCCGUGGGUCCCACGCGUCAGCCGCACCCGCGGGCGCGGGCGGCUGACGGCCGGGCCCACCUGGCAGCCGCGGGGCGCGCCCGAAGGCGGCCUCGCCGGCACGGCCGACGGGAGGCGGCGCACCCGCACCCCGAUGGUCGCCGCCGGCGACCAACGGCGCGGCGGAGCGGCACCCGAGAGAGAGGAGGGGAGGGGGAAACGAACGGAGCGGUCCACGGCUCACCCCGGAACGACGAGGGCGGCGGAAACGACGAUCGGAGCGGAGGAAGACGGCGGCGCGGUUCGGGACGGCGAGGACGACGGUGCUCCGGCGGUCGGCGGGCGAAACGGAGGAGCGGACGAGGUCGACGACGACGCGGCGAAGCCGAUGGAGGUGACGCCGAGUCGGGAGGAAGUCCGGAGCGACGACGGCGGCUGACCGGAGCUCGGCGGCGACGGCGGAGAGAAGGUGCGACGGCGCGAGCACGAAUCCGACGGAAAGAGCGAGCGGCGAGUGGCGGAAACGGAGGAGAGAGGCUCGGGGAGCGAUUAUAAAGGGAAGGGAGCGAGAGAGGGCGGCCGGGGAGGAAGGAAACCGGCGCGGAGAUCUCGGCCGCCAUUGAUGACGCCGGCGACGAUUGCGGGAUUGAAUCCGGACGAAUCCGAGGGAGAGAGAGAGGGGAAAGAGGGGGAAAAGAGGGAGGGAAUCACGGGGAGUGAUUUCCCCCUCUUUAUGGCGCGCGGGGACGGCGGGAUGCGGCGGAAUCCGCGGCGGCGGCGGCGCUAGGGCACGGGCGGGGCGGCGGCUGCGGCGCGAGGUAGGCGAUGACAGGUGGGCCCCACCCGUCAGCGAGGGUGGCAGGCGGGCCCGCCUGUCAGCGGCGCGCGCGCGGGGAGAGAGCCGAUGGGCCGCGGGGGAGAGGAGAGAGAGGGAGGGAAUUGGGCCGAGCCGGCCCAAGAGGGAAAAGGGGGGGGGGAAAGGACUUCUUUUAGGGUUUUUCUUUUUAUAAACAUUUUUAACUUUGUUUAUUUCUUCUCAAUUAUUAUUUGUGCUCUGAAAAUUCCACUAAAAUUUAUUUACGCAUUUUAGGCUUUUAGGAAAUAUACAAAAAUCCUCCAAGCCUUAUUUGACUUUUAAAUUUGCACAUUUUAAUUGUUGGAGGCUUUCACACGAAUUUUAAUUAUUCUCGGCACAAUUUCGAGGAUGUAUUUUAGAGUUGUUUUGGGACGCGACAAACCUACCCCCCUUAAACGGAAUCUCGACCCCGAGAUUCGGAAGAACUGGUGAAGAGGUCGGGAUGGGCUGCCUUCAGCUCGUCUUCACGCUCCCAAGUAGCUUCUUCUUCAGCAUGGUUGCUCCACUGGACCUUGCAAAAACGGAUUACCCGGUUCCUGGUCCUGCGCUCCAUGGUGUCCAGGAUUUUCACUGGCCUCUCCACAUAGGUCAAAUCUUCGCGAACUUCAAUUUGCUCUGAGUCGGCCUGCUCGGAUGGCACUCGAAGGCAUUUCUUGAGUUGCGACACAUGGAACACAUCAUGCACGUUGCCCAAGGAGGCGGGCAGCUCCAGCUGGUAAGCGACUUCUCCGCGUCGAGCAACGAUACGGAAAGGACCCACAUACCGAGGUGCGAGCUUCCCUUUUGUCUGAAACCUGUGUACACCUCGCAAUGGCGUGACCCGAAGAUACACAAAGUCAUCCACUACGAAUUCCAGAUCACGGCGUCGGUUAUCCGCAUAACUUUUCUGCCGGGACUGUGCCACCUUUAGAUUAUCCCGAAUGAUUCUGACUUUAGCUUCAGCUUCUCUCAGGAUAUCAGUCCCGAACACUUGGCUUUCUCCAACUUGGUCCCACAAGAGCGGUGUCCGGCAUUUGCGCCCGUACAACGCUUCAUAAGGUGCCAUUUGUAUGCUGGCUUGAUAACUGUUAUUGUAGGAGAACUCGGCAUAGGGGAGACUCUUAUCCCAGGUCUUCCCGAAAUCUAGUACACAUGCGCGGAGCAUAUCUUCUAGGAUUUGAUUUAGACGCUCGGUCUGUCCAUCUGUCUGCGGGUGAUACGCGGUGCUGAAAUUUAAUCGGGUUCCCAACUCUUCUUGGAGUUUCUUCCAGAAAUGAGAGGUGAAUUGGCUUCCCCUAUCAGAUACGAUUUUCUUGGGAACGCCAUGGAGACUCACGAUCCUAGCGAAGUAGAGCUCGGCUAGUUUGUUCCCUCCAUAGGUGGUCUUCAUAGGAAUAAAUCGAGCUACCUUGGUUAAUCGAUCCACAACUACCCAUAUAGAAUCAUAUCCACCUUGGGUUUUUGGAAGUCCUGUGAUGAAAUCCAUCCCAAUUUCAUCCCAUUUCCAUUCUGGUACUUGGAGAGGUUGGAGAAGUCCGGCCGGUCGUUGGUGCUCUGCCUUGACACGCUGGCACACAUCACAAAGGGCCACGAACUCUGCAAUUUCCCGCUUCAUACUAACCCACCAGUAUUUCUCCUUCAAGUCUAAGUACAUCUUUGUACUGCCCGGGUGAAUGGAAUAAGGGCUCUCGUGAGCUUCCUGAAGUAUCAGCUGUUUAAGUUCUCUGUUAUCUGGAACGCAUACCCGAUUUCCGUUUCAUAGGGUUCCGUGUUCAUCCUUUGUGAAACCAGCGGCUUUACCCUGUUUCAUAUUCUUGAGGAGUCCAUGCAUGUCCGGAUCAUUCUUCUGAGCCUCGCGGAUUUGAUCGAGCAAGGUAGGCUUGGCUUCUAGCGCAGCCAAGAAUCCGCGACCAACUACGCUUAGGUUCAGGGCUUCCAUCUGUUGAUUAAGUUCGGGUGGAAUGCCAAGGACGUUAAGAGUGUUGCAAUGGCCCUUUCGACUUAGAGCGUCGGCAACCACGUUGGCCUUACCAGGAUGAUAGUGAAUUCCCACAUCAUAGUCCUUGAUGAGUUCUAACCAUCUCCUUUGCCGAAGAUUUAGAUCCGACUGGGUGAAGAUGUAUUUCAAACUCUUAUGAUCGGUAUAUAUUUCACAGCGAUUCCCAAUGAGAUAGUGCCGCCAGAUUUUUAGAGCAUGAACCACCGCGGCUAACUCCAAAUCAUGUGUAGGGUAGUUGCCUUCAUGAGGUCGCAGCUGACGCGAGGCAUAGGCUACCACAUGACCGUCCUGCAUGAGCACGCACCCCAAUCCUUGGCGCGAAGCGUCACAAUACACCAUGAAGUCCUUGCGAGUAUCCGGCAAGAUUAACACCGGCGAGGAAACCAGCUUUUCCUUGAGAGUUUGGAACGCCUUCUCGCAUUGCGGGCUCCACACAAAUUUCUCUUCUUUCUUCAACAACUGUGUCAUGGGUCGAGCGAUUUUGGAGAAGUUCUCGAUGAAUCUCCGGUAGUAUCCUGCCAAACCUAAGAAACUGCGGACUUGAGUAACUGUCUUGGGUUGCUUCCAAUCGGCGACGGCGGUCACUGUUUCGGGGUCCACAGCAACUCCUUUAGCAGAUAUCACGUGUCCUAAGAAUUUGACUUCGGACAACCAGAACUCACACUUGCUAAGCUUGGCAUACAAUUGAUGUUCCCGCAGCUUUCCCAACACCAGACGGAGAUGGUGCUGAUGGUCUUCCUCUGAUUGUGAGUAUAUCAGAAUGUCAUCAAUGAAAACCACAACAAACUUAUCCAAGUAUUCCAUGAACACUUUGUUCAUUAAGUUCAUGAAGAAGGCAGGUGCAUUGGUUAGACCGAAUGACAUCACCGUGAAUUCAUACAGCCCGUAUCGCGUGGUGAAUGCGGUCUUCGGAAUAUCUUCUUCACGAAUACGUAAUUGGUGAUAUCCGGAACGAAGAUCAAUCUUGGAGAAUACAGUGGCACCUUUAAGCUGAUCGAACAGAUCAUCGAUCCGGGGAAGAGGGUACUUGUUUUUGAUGGUGACUUCAUUGAGAGCUCUGUAGUCAACGCACAUCCUCUUCGUCUUGUCUUUCUUCUCCACAAAAAUCACAGGAGCACCCCAGGGGGAAGUACUCGGACGUAUAUACCCCUUUUCUUUCAACUCUUCCAACUGUUUCUUUACUUCGGCCAGUUCAUUUGCUGCCAUACGGUAGGGUCGCUUGUGCAGAGGAGUGGUUCCUGGAGCAAGAUCUAUCCGGAACUCAAUCUCUCGCUUGGGCGGCAUACCGGGUAGUUCUUCCGGAAACACAUCUAUGAACUCCCUGACUAUGGGGAUUUCUGACAGUCCUAUCUGAUGCAGUUCUGAACUACUGACAGAGGUUGGGGGUGCAAAGAAAACAACCGGUUGUUCCGGCCCUCGGUACAGAGUGACAGUGCGUCUCGCGCAAUCCACUACUCCUUGGAAUUGAGCCAACCAAUUCAUCCCAAGAAUCACAUCCAAGUUCUUGGUGUCUAGCAGAAUCAGAUCCGAGGGAAAAGGAAUCCCCUGAAUUUCUAUAGGGACGGCAGGGCUAUAAUACUUUGCUGUCAUAACCCCUCCAGGGGUGGUGAUGAGCAGAGGGUUCCUAAGCCUUUCUACCCCCAACUGAUUUCUCCCCACGAAUGGCACAGAUAUAAACGAGUGGGAAGCUCCAGAGUCGAACAAAAUGGUAGCAGGGAUGGAAUGAACGAGGAACGUACCAACGAUGACGUCUGGAGUUGUCAACACGUCCUCGGCCGUCACGUGAUUCACACGACCCCGAAUGACAUCCUUCCCACCGUUGUUGGAGCGGGGAGGCGCUUGACCUUGCUGACGCCUUGGCUUCGGGCAUUUAUCCGCAAAGUGCCCGGGCUCGAAGCAGUUGAAGCACAGACGCUGCUGACCUUGAGCGUCCCUGCGGCCUUGACCAGGCUGCACAGUUGGCGUAGGAGGACGGGGCGCACGAGUCCCUUGCUGAUUCUGCUGCUGCUGCGGCUGUGGGACGCGCACCACGAAUUGAGGUCGGGGCGCGGAGCGAGGUUGCUGCUGCUGUUGUUGCUGUUGCGAGGAGGAUCCCCCUGGAUAGGGGUUGGUGUAGCGGACCCUUUGGUUAGCACCCUGUUGAUUGCGGAAAUUCGCCAAGCGGCGCUUGUGCGACUCCAGUUCCUUGUGCUUGGCCUCCAAGCGGAUGCUCUUGUCCACCAGACGUUGGAAAUCCGGAUAGUCCCCAGAGACUAGACGGACGGACAGUUCAGGGUCCAAUCCUGCCAAGAACUUCUCUUGCUUCUCCUCAUCUUCCCGCACAUCCUCCGGGGCGUAACGGGCCAGAUUGUUGAACUCAUGCAAAUACUCCAUCACGGAGCGGUUGCCUUGCUUCAACUCUCGGAACUCCCUCUUCUUAAGAGCAACGACUCCGGCGGGCACAUGGGUUCUCCGGAAAGCGGCGGUGAAGCGGGCCCAAGUAAUAGGCUGCCCCUCUGGCUGCGUAGCUUGGAAAUGGUCCCACCAUAGAGAUGCGGGCCCCUGCAGCUGGUGGGCGGCGAAGACGACUUUCUCCUCAUCGCUGCACUGCACAGUGUCUAGCUUUUUCCCCACGGCAUGCAACCAAUCCAACGCAUCCACGGGGUUGUUGGAGCUGGAGAAGGUGGGUGGACGGAUGCGGAGGAACUCGGCGAGUUUAGAGUGUUGGGGAGGUGGUGGUGGAGCAUUAUGUUGUGGCGGAUUUUGGAGGUGGUGGAGGAAAGCCGUCAUCAUGUUGGCUUGCUGGGCGAGGAUUUGGGUGAGAAUGGCGUUGGUAUCUGGUGGUGGUGGUGGAGGCGGAGGAGGAGGUGGAGGUGGGUUGCCCUGGCGGUUGUGGUUGCUGCCUUCAGGUUGAUUGCCAUCACCGGUGUUAGCAUUUCUCCUGGUCGUCACCAUCUGAAAACCCCACACAGAACCAGCAAACAGAGAGAGCUAACAAUUAAAACUAACCACCCACGACUACCAUAAUUCUUGAAUUUAUUACUGCUAUUAAAUUGGUUCAUUAAAGUUCAAGUUGCUUAGGCAAAUAAAUAAAGACAGGCUCCGACACAGUUAUGCCACACACCGGCAUAACCAUGCCCCACACGACUCAAACAAAAGACAAACGAGAAAGAACACACGCGCAAGCCUACUAACUGCUCGUCUACCGCUGCGACGGGCCAGGACGGAAGGUGAGCAACAGCGCAUCCUCCGUGCUACCAACGCCGGAGGCUUCCCCCUCCUGGGGAACCACGGGCGCGGGCUCGGCACGAGGGGUCUCCACGAAGCAAGUCCACGCCAGGGACUGACGAACAAGCUCGGGCCUGGAGGUGCUCUUGCGGGCGGUGAUCUUCUGGCUGCGGCAGACGCGGCGACGCUUGGGACGGCAGUCCUCCCCCUGGGCGAUCUUGAGCUGCUGCAGCUGCGCCUCCACCGCGUCUAGGUCCUUCUUGAGCUGCAGGUUCUCCUGACGCAGCUCCAGGAUCUUCAUGUUGUUCUCGACCAUCCCACGGCGUACCAUCUGGUGGAAGUCGAUACGAGCUGCGUCGUACGCCUCCACCAUGCGCGCCAGGUGCACGAUGGUAGCGUCAUCCUCCGAGCUAGCAUCCCGGAAGGUGGCGUAGUCGCGGGCUCCUCCGCGACGAGGGUGGUAGCGGUAGGGCGAGUGCUGCAACUCGUCCGGGUAGCGCUGGUGAAGAGUGCCGAUGGCGAGGAGAGCGGCGUUCUGGCAAGCGGCGGGGAAGGAAUCUCCACCCGCGGUGACUGCCAGCGAAGUCCGCUCGGGAGAGCCAGAGAGGAUCACUGCAGUAACCUCCCAACCAGCGUGGGGCUCUGCAUCCUCACCCUCCUGCUCCGGGAGCGGCCUGGCCUGGUAAUCCACUCCAUGUGGAUACCCCAAGACCACGCACAUGCCCCGCAGCUCCAAGACGAAGCCAGUCAUGUCCAAACCACGACGGGUGACGCUGCCGGCCAUCUACAAACAAAAACAAAAAGAAAAGACAACAUUUUAAAGGUCAGAUUUUGGCGAUAAAUGAAGCAGCAAGACAGAGAGACUAGACAGUUUUCACAAAUAACAAAAGAUUUUUAUUUUUGAAAAUAUUGCUAAGGCUUGGGAUCUACGGCUCGUCCUAGGGUCAAGGGUGGCUCUGAUACCAACUUGUCACGACCGGAAAUAACCCAACGGGCGUUCCUGACGUGCGUGCAUUAAUCCUUGUCCCAGGAGGCAAGGUACACCAAAAGUUGAUACAAUUCAGAGUUUAACAAGCGGAAGCGUAAAUAGUUAACUUAUUACAUGGGCAGCAAAGGCCCAGCACACACAGAGACAAACGAGAAACAGCGGAAGACUAGGGCGACGACCACAGGCGCUUGACGGCAGGCACGAGCUAGACACCAAAGCCUUCAUCUUCAAGGAGCUCCUCUUCUGGGCUUGGGAAAAAUUGAGCAAGACUGAGUACAACCACCGUACUCAACAAGACACACCCACAAAUGCAGAAUAAAUGCAAGGGAGUACAAGGGAAUUAUACCAUAAAGGGUUAGGGUUGCAGUAAACAGCAUUUAAAGACAUUUAGUUGCUCAAAGCUAUUUUGUAAACACGAUCCUGGAACUAUACAAUGUUAUUAAACAAGGCCGUGAACCCACACGAACCUGCCUUAACCCAAGGCCUACGAUGAUUCAGACCGAACUGGCAACCCGACCCUGGGUCCCAGCUCGUCCCAAGCCAACCCAGGCCAACCAUUCCACAUUUUAGUUGUUAAGCAGGUUUUAAGAAUUGAAACACUAACUUGGGUACAUUGCUCGGCUUGCCCAUAACCGAGGGCGCGGCUAUUCGAAUAGAUUAUACUCUGAUCAGAGGUGUACAUCUUUACCCACAAGACACAUCUUCCUCACGUGCAACCACGUGCCACAUACCACCACGGUAUACAGACGGAAGCUGUGACAUAGUUUCCAACCCAUCCUAGCCAUAGACAAGAGUACCGACCCAAUCCCACCUACGGCCGGAACCCCCGGGACAGGCAGGCAGGACUGAGCCCCUAGCAGCAGGACACCGGCCCUGUGCCAUGACAUCUCGACUACCGGGCCGCAGCUCGUGUAGCCUUCAUUUGCCCUGGAGAAUGUCCAUCGACCCCCGACUUCAUCCACCUCCAUCCGUGUACUUUUGUUUAUAACCAGACUGAGCCACAAACUAAGCCUUACCCACUAGACAUGUGGAAGUACGGUAAUGCUUUGCAACAGAGGCCCGAAGACCGGUCCUUAUAUGGCCGAGGUGCUACUAUCAAAACCAUGCACCCCGAGCCCAGCCUAAAACCAUUUUGGGGAUUUUGAAUAGAAGGAGCGGUGUGAAGCCAAUUCCACAGUAACCAAACCAUUCCAUAGUGUCCAAGUGAUAUGAAUAUUUCCCAAAGUCUAUAGUUGAAAAACCACCUAAUGUUACCUAAUUAAAUUGCGAAGCAUCUACCUAAAAUCAUACUAGGGAUACCAUGAGUAGAGUGUUCACUAGUUGAGGUUUUGUUUAUUCUAGGUUGAACAAGGUAAUAAUAACAAUAACAAUAAUAAUAAGGUCAUAACAAAGGUAAAUAGGCAUGGCUAAAUAAAACAGUGAUAACGCGGGAAUUUAAAUAAAGCGAUAAUGCAAUAAUUUAAAUCAACAUAAUUUUACAAACUGGGAUUCAAUAUGUUCAAGGAUGAUGUGACUUGCCUUGCUCGCUUUCCCAAACGUCGGCUUCAACUUCCACGAAGAGCGGGUCUUCCGAAGCUGCAGCGUCUACACGACCAAUGGAAAAGAAAAGGCUUUUACUCUAAUAAACUCCACAUAACAGCAGAAACAAAGCAUAAAAAAUGGGUUCUUGACUUCUUAAGGAAAAAUUAGAGACUUGAACGGUCCAAUUCCGAGUUCAAAUGGCCAAGUUAUGGCCAUUUGAAGUUUAUAUGCUCUUUAAAUGGAUAUUUGCGAAUUUCUUCAUUUAAAUUUUAAUUAAAAACCGGAUUUAUUGCGUCAGCCGAGAGAGAGGGCGCGCGGACCGGGUCCACGGGAGUGGGGCCCACGCGUCAGCCUCUCGGUCCACAGUGGACCGGGCGCACGCGGCUGACGCCGACCGGCGCCGUGGGUCCCACGCGUCAGCCGCACCCGCGGGCGCGGGCGGCUGACGGCCGGGCCCACCUGGCAGCCGCGGGGCGCGCCCGAUGGCGGCCUCGCCGGCACGGCCGACGGGAGGCGGCGCACCCGCACCCCGAUGGUCGCCGCCGGCGACCAACGGCGCGGCGGAGCGGCACCCGAGAGAGAGGAGGGGAGGGGGAAACGAACGGAGCGGUCCACGGCUCACCCCGGAACGACGAGGGCGGCGGAAACGACGAUCGGAGCGGAGGAAGACGGCGGCGCGGUUCGGGACGGCGAGGACGACGGUGCUCCGGCGGUCGGCGGGCGAAACGGAGGAGCGGACGAGGUCGACGACGACGCGGCGAAGCCGAUGGAGGUGACGCCGAGUCGGGAGGAAGUCCGGAGCGACGACGGCGGCUGACCGGAGCUCGGCGGCGACGGCGGAGAGAAGGUGCGACGGCGCGAGCACGAAUCCGACGGAAAGAGCGAGCGGCGAGUGGCGGAAACGGAGGAGAGAGGCUCGGGGAGCGAUUAUAAAGGGACGGGAGCGAGAGAGGGCGGCCGGGGAGGAAGGAAACCGGCGCGGAGAUCUCGGCCGCCAUUGAUGACGCCGGCGACGAUUGCGGGAUUGAAUCCGGACGAAUCCGAGGGAGAGAGAGAGGGGAAAGAGGGGGAAAAGAGGGAGGGAAUCACGGGGAGUGAUUUCCCCCUCUUUAUGGCGCGCGGGGACGGCGGGAUGCGGCGGAAUCCGCGGCGGCGGCGGCGCUAGGGCACGGGCGGGGCGGCGGCUGCGGCGCGAGGUAGGCGAUGACAGGUGGGCCCCACCCGUCAGCGAGGGUGGCGGGCGGGCCCGCCUGUCAGCGGCGCGCGCGCGGGGAGAGAGCCGAUGGGCCGCGGGGGAGAGGAGAGAGAGGGAGGGAAUUGGGCCGAGCUAGCCCAAGAGGGAAAAGGGGGGGGGAAAGGACUUCUUUUAGGGUUUUUCUUUUUAUAAACCUUUUUAACUUUGUUUAUUUCUUCUCAAUUAUUAUUUGUGCUCUGAAAAUUCCACUAAAAUUUAUUUACGCAUUUUAGGCUUUUAGGAAAUAUACAAAAAUCCUCCAAGCCUUAUUUGACUUUUAAAUUUGCACAUUUUAAUUGUUGGAGGCUUUCACACGAAUUUUAAUUAUUCUCGGCACAAUUUCGAGGAUGUAUUUUAGAGUUGUUUUGGGACGCGACACACUCUAUUCAUGGUACCACUAGUAUGAUUUUAGGUAGAUGCUUCGCUGGUUAAUUAGGCAACAUUAGGUGGUUUUACAACUCUAGACUUUGGGUUUUUCUCAUCACCUGGACACUAUGGAAUGGUCGGAUUAUUGUGGAAUUGGAUUCACACCGCCCCCUCUAUUCAAAAUUCCCAAAAUGGUUUUAGGCCGGGCUCGGGGUGCAUGGUUUUGAUAGUAGCACCUCGGCCAUAUAAGGACCGGUCUUCGGGCCACUGUUGCAAAGCACUACCGUACUUCCACAUGUCUAGUGGGUAAGGCUUAGUUUGUGGCUCAGUCUGGUUAUAAACACAAGUACACGGUUGGAGAUGGACGAAGUCGGGGGUCGAUGGACAUCUCUAGGACAAAUGAAGGCUACACGAGCUAUGGCCCGGUAGUCGAGAUGUCAUGGCACAGGGCCGGUGUCCUGCUGCUAGGGGCUCAGUCCUGUCUACCUGUCCCGGGGGUUCCGGCCGUAGGUGGGGUUGGGUCGAUACUCUUGUCUAUGGCUAGGAUGGGUUGGAAACUAUGUCACGUCUUCCGUCCGUAUACCGUGGUGGCAUGUGGCACGUGGUUACACGUGAGGAAGAUGUGUCUUGUGGGUAAAGAUGUACACCUCUGAUCAGAGUAUAAUCUAUUCGAAUAGCCGCGCCCUCGGUUAUGGGCAAGCCGAGCAAUGUACCCAAGUUAGUGUUUUAAUUCUUAAAACCUGCUUAACAACUAAAAGGUGGAACGGAUGGCCUGGGUUCGCUUGGGACGAGCUGGGACCCAGGGUCGGGUUGCCAGUUCGGUCUGAACCAUCGUAGGCCUUGGGUUAAGGCAGGCUCGUGUAGGUUCACGGCCUUGAUUAAUAAUAUUGUAUAGCUCUGGAAACGUGUUUACAAAAUAGCUUUGAGCAACUAAGUGUCUUUUAAUGCUGUUUACUGCAAACCCUAACCCUUUAUAUCAUAACCCCCAUGUACUCCUUUACAUUUAUCCUGCAUUUGUGGGUGUGUCUUGUUGAGUACGGUGGUUGUACUCAGUCUUGCUCAAUUUUUCCAAACCCAGAAGAGGAGUCCCUGGAAGAUGAAGGCUUUGGUGUCUAGCUCGUGCCUGCCGUCAAGCGCCUGUGGUCGUCGCCCUAGUCUUCCGCUGUUUCUCGUUUGUCUUUGUGUGUGCUGGGCCCUCGCUGCCCAUGUAAUAAAUUAACUAUUUACGCUUCCGCUUGAUAAACUCUGAAAUGUAUCAACUUUUGGUGUACCUUGCCUCCUGGGACAAGGAAUAAUACACGCACGUAAGGAACGCCCGUUGGGUUAAUUCCGGUCGUGACAAGUUGGUAUCAGAGCCCCCUUGACCCUAGGACGAGCCGUAGAUCCCAAGCCUUAGCAAUAUUUUCAAAAUAAAAAUCCUUUCUUAUUUGUGAAAAUCCUCUAGUCUGUCUCUGUCCUGCUGCUUCAUUUAUCGUCAAAAUCUGACCUUUAAAAUGUUGCUUUUCUCUUUUGUUUUUGUUUGUAGAUGGCCGGCAGCAUCAACUGUCGUGGUCUGGACCUGACUGGCUUCGUUUUGGAGCUGCGGGGCAUGUGCGUUGUCCUGGGGUAUCCGCAUGGAGUGGACUACCAGGGCAAGCAGCUCCCGGAGCAGGAGGGUGACGAUGCAGAGCCCCACGCUGCUUGGGAGGUUACUGCAGUGAUCCUCACUGGCUCACCCGAGAGGACUUCGUUGGCAGUCACCGCGGGUGGAGAUUCCUUCUCCGCCGCUUGCCAGAACGCCGCACUCCUCGCCAUCGGCACUCUUCACCAGCGCUACCCAGACGAGUUGUAGCACUCGCCCUACCGCUACCACCCUCAUCGCGGAGGAGCCCGUGACUACGCCACCUUCCGGGAUGCUGGCUCGGAGGAUGACUCUACAAUCAUGCACCUGGCGCGCAUGGUGGAGGCGUACGACGCGGCCCGUAUCGACUUCCAUCAGAUGGUGCGUCGCGGGUUGGUCGAGAACAACAUGAAGAUCCUGGAGCUGCGUCAGGAGAAUCUGCAGUUGAAGAAGGACCUAGACGCAGUGGAGGCGCAGCUGCGUCAGCUCAAGGUCGCCCAGGGAGAGGUCUGCCGUCCCAAGCGCCGCCGCGUCUGCCGCAGCCAGAAGAUCACCGCCCGCAAGAGUACCUCCAGGCCCGAGCUUGUUCGUCAGUCCCUAGCGUGGACCUGCUUCGUCGAGACCCCUCGUGCCGAGCCCGUGCUCGUGGUUCCUCAGGAGGAUGGAGCCUCCGGCGUUGGCAACACGGAGGAUGCGCUGCUGCUCACCUUCCGUCCUGGCCCGUCGCAGCUGUAGACGAGCAGUUAGUAGGCUUGCGCGUGUGUUCUUCUCGUUUGUUUUUCUGCUAGAGUCGUAUGGGGCAUGGUUAUGCCGGUGUGUGGUAUAACUGUGUCGGAGCCUGUCUUUAUUUUAUUUGCUUAAGCAACUUGAACUUUAAUGAACCAAUUUAAUAGCAGUAAUAAAUUCAAGAAUUAUGGUAGUCGUGGGUGGUUAGUUUUAAUUGUCAGCUCUCUCUGUUUGCUGGUUCUGUGUGGGGUUUUCAGAUGGUGACGACCAGGAGAAGUGCUGCUACCGGUGAAGGCAGUCACCCCGAAGGCAGCAACCACAACAACCAUGGCAGCCUACCUCCACCUCCUCCCCCGCCUCCACCACCACCACCAGACACCAACGCCAUUCUCACCCAAAUCCUCGCCCAGCAGGCCAACAUGAUGGCUGCUUUCCUCCACCACAUCCAAAAUCCGCCACAACAUAAUGCUCCACCACCGCCCCCACAACACUCUAAACUCGCCGAGUUCCUCCGCAUCCGUCCACCUACCUUCUCUAGCUCCAAUAACCCCGUGGAUGCGUUGGAUUGGUUGCAUGCCGUGGGGAAAAAGUUAGACACCGUGCAGUGCAGCGAUGAGGAGAAAGUCAUCUUCACCGCCCACCAACUGCAGGGGCCCGCAUCUCUAUGGUGGGACCAUUUCCAGGCUACGCAGCCAGAAGGGCAGCCUACUACUUGGGCCCGCUUCACCGCCGCUUUCUGGAGAACCCAUGUGCCCGCCGGAGUCAUGGCCCUUAAGAAAAGGGAAUUCCGAGAGUUGAAACAAGGCAACUGCUCUGUGAUGGAGUAUUUGCAUGAGUUUAACAACCUGGCCCGAUACGCCCCGGAGGAUGUACGGGAAGAUGAGGAGAAGCAAGAGAAGUUCUUGGCAGGAAUGGACCCUGAGCUGUCCGUGCGUCUGGUCUCCGGGGACUAUCCGGAUUUCCAACAUCUGGUGGACAAGAGCAUCCGCUUGGAAGCCAAGCACAAGGAACGGGAGUCGCACAAGCGUCGUUUGGCGAAUUUCCGCAACCAACAGGGGGCUAACCAAAGGGUCCGCUACACCAAUCCCUAUCCGGGGGGAUCCUCCUCGUAGCAGCAACAGCAGCAGCAACCUCGCUCCGCGCCCCGACCUCAAUUCGUGGUGCGCGUCCCACAGCCGCAGCAACAGCAGAGUCAACAAGGGACUCGUGCGCCCCGUCCUCCUACGCCAGCCGUGCAGCCUAGUCAAGGCCGCAGGGACGUUCAAGGUCAGCAGCGUCUGUGCUUCAACUGCUUCGAGCCUGGGCACUUUGCGGAUAAAUGCCCAAAGCCGAGGCGCCAGCAAGGCCAAGCGCCUCCCCACUCCAACAAUGGUGGUAAGGAUGUCAUUCGGGGUCGGGUGAACCACGUGACGGCCGAGGAUGUGCUGACAACUCCAGACGUCAUCGUUGGUACGUUCCUCAUUCAUUCCAUCCCUGCUACCAUUUUGUUCGACUCUGGAGCUUCCCACUCAUUUAUAUAUGUGCCAUUCGUGGGGAGAAAUCAGUUGGGGGUAGAAAGGCUUAGGAACCCUCUGCUCAUCACCACCCCUGGAGGGGUUAUGACAGCAAAGUAUUAUAGCCCUGUCGUUCCUAUAGAAAUUCAGGGAAUUCCUUUUCCCUCGGAUCUGAUUCUUUUAGACACCAAGAACUUGGAUGUGAUCCUUGGGAUGAAUUGGUUAGCUCAAUUCCAAGGAGUAGUGGAUUGUGCAAGACGCACUGUCACUCUGUACCGAGGGCCGGAACAACCGGUUGUUUUCUUUGCUCCCCCAACCUCUGUCGGUAGUUCAGAACUUCAUCAGAUAGGACUGUCAGAAAUCCCCAUCGUCAGAGGGUUCGGAGACGUGUUUCCGGAAGAACUACCCGGUAUGCCACCGAAGCGAGAGAUUGAGUUCCGGAUAGAUCUUGCUCCAGGAACCACUCCCCAGUACAAGCGACCCUACCGUAUGGCAGCAAAUGAACUGGCCAAAGUCAAGAAACAGUUGGAAGAGUUGAAAGAAAAGGGGUAUAUACGGCCGAGUACUUCCCCCUGGGGUGCUCCUGUGAUUUUUGUGGAGAAGAAAGACAAGACGAAGAGGAUGUGCAUUGACUACAGAGCUCUCAAUGAAGUUACCAUCAAAAACAAGUACCCUCUUCCCCGGAUCGAUGAUCUGUUCGAUCAGCUUAAAGGUGCCAUUGUAUUCUCCAAGAUUGAUCUUCGUUCUGGAUAUCACAAUUACGUAUUCGUGAAGAAGAUAUCCCUAAGACCGCAUUCACCACGCGAUACGGACUGUAUGAAUUCACGGUGAUGUCGUUCGGUUUAACCAAUGCUCCUGCCUUCUUCAUGAACUUAAUGAACAAAGUGUUCAUGGAAUAGUUGGAUAAGUUUGUUGUGGUUUUCAUUGACGACAUUCUGGUGUACUCACAAUCAGAGGAUGACCAUCAGCACCAUCUCCGUCUGGUGUUGGGAAAGUUGCGGGAACAUCAAUUGUAUGCCAAGCUUAGCAAGUGUGAGUUCUGGUUGUCCGAAGUCAAAUUCUUAGGGCACGUGAUAUCUGCUAAAGGAGUCGCUGUGGACCCCGAAACAGUGACCGCCGUCACUGAUUGGAAGCAACCCAAGACAGUCACUCAAAUUCGCAGCUUCUUGGGUUUGGCAGGAUACUACCGGAGGUUCAUCGAGAACUUCUCCAAAAUCGCUCGACCCAUGACACAGUUGUUGAAGAAAGAAGAGAAAUUUGUGUGGAGCCCGCAAUGCGAGAAGGCGUUCCAAACUCUCAAGGAAAGGCUGGUUUCCUCGCCGGUUUUAAUCUUACCGGAUACUCGCAAGGACUUCAUGGUGUAUUGUGACGCUUCGCGCCAAGGAUUGGGGUGCGUGCUCAUGCAGGAAGGUCAUGUGGUAGCCUAUGCCUCACGCCAGCUACGGCCUCAUGAAGACAACUACCCUACCCAUGAUUUGGAGUUAGCCGCUGUGGUUCAUGCUCUAAAGAUCUGGCGGCACUAUCUCAUUGGGAAUCGCUGUGAAAUAUAUACUGAUCAUAAGAGUUUGAAAUACAUCUUCACUCAGUUGGAUCUGAAUCUUCGGCAGAGGAGAUGGUUAGAACUCAUCAAGGAUUAUGAUGUGGGAAUUCACUAUCACCCUGGCAAGGCCAACGUGGUCGCCGACGCUCUAUGUCGAAAAAGCCAUUGCAACACUCUUGACGUCCGUGGCAUUCCACCCGAACUUAAUCAACAGAUGGAAGCCUUGAACCUAAGCAUAGUUGGUCGUGGAUUCUUGGCUACGCUGGAAGCCAAGCCUACCUUGCUCGAUCAAAUCCGCGAGGCUCAGAAGAAUGAUCCGGAUAUGCGUGGACUCCUCAAGAAUAUGAAACAGGGUAAAGCCGCUGGUUUCACAGAGGAUGAACACGGAACCCUAUGGAACGGAAAUCGGGUAUGCGUUCCAGAUGACAGAGAACUUAAACAGCUGAUACUUCAGGAAGCUCACGAAAGUCCUUAUUCCAUCCACCCUGGCAGUACGAAGAUGUACUUAGACUUGAAAGAGAAAUACUGGUGGGUUAGUAUGAAGCGGGAAAUUGUAGAGUUUGUGGCCCUUUGUGAUGUGUGCCAGCGUGUCAAGGCAGAGCACAAACGACCGGCCGGACUUCUCCAACCUCUUCAAGUGCCAGAAUGGAAAUGGGAUGAAAUUGGGAUGGAUUUCAUCACCGGACUUCCAAAAACCCAAGGCGGAUAUGAUUCUAUAUGGGUAGUUGUGGACCGACUAACCAAGGUAGCUCGGUUUAUUCCUGUGAAGACCACCUAUGGAGGGAACAAACUAGCCGAGCUCUACUUCGCUAGGAUCGUGAGUCUCCAUGGCGUUCCUAAGAAAAUUGUAUCUGAUAGGGGAAGCCAAUUCACCUCUCACUUUUGGAAGAAGCUCCAAGAAGAGCUGGGUACCCGAUUAAAUUUCAGCACCGCGUAUCACCCGCAGACAGAUGGACAGACCGAGCGUCUAAAUCAGAUCCUAGAAGAUAUGCUUCGCGCAUGUGUCCUAGAUUUCGGGAAGACCUGGGAUAAGAGUCUCCCCUAUGCCGAGUUCUCCUACAAUAACAGCUACCAAGCCAGCAUACAAAUGGCACCCAAUGAAGCGUUGUAUGGACGCAAAUGCCGGACACCGCUAUUAUGGGACCAAGUUGGGGAAAGCUAAGUGUUCGGGACUGAUAUCCUGAGGGAAGCUAAAGCUAAAGUCAGAACCAUUCGGGAUAAUUUAAAGGUGGCACAGUCCCGGCAGAAGAGUUAUGCAGAUAACCGACGCCGUAAUAUGGAAUUCGCAGUGGACGAUUUUGUGUACCUUCGGGUCACGCCAUUGCGGGGUGUACACAGGUUUCAGACGAAAGGGAAGCUCGCACCUCGGUUUGUGGGUCCUUUCCGUAUCAUUGCUCGACGCGGGGAAGUCGCUUACCAGUUGGAGCUGCCCGCCUCCUUGGGCAACAUGCAUGAUGUGUUCCAUGUGUCGCAACUCAAGAAAUGUCUUCGAGUGCCAUCCGAGCAGGCCGAUUCAGAGCAAAUUGAAGUUCGCGAAGACUUGAUCUACGUGGAGAGGCCAGUGAAAGUCCUGGACACCAUGGAGCGCAGGACCAGGAACCGGGUAAUCCGUUUUUGCAAGGUCCAAUGGAGCAACCACGCUGAGGAAGAAGCUACUUGGGAGCGUGAAGACGAGCUGAAGGCAGCCCAUCCCAAUCUCUUCGCCAGUUCUUCCGAAUCUCGGGGUCGAGAUUCCGUUUAAGGGGGUAGGUUUGUCACGUCCCAAAACGACUCUAAAAUGCAUCCUCUAAAUUAUGCCUAGAAUAAAUGCACAAGGCCGGUGUCCUGCUGCUAGGGGCUCAGUCCUGCCUACCUGUCCCGGGGGUUCCGGCCGUAGGUGGGGUUGGGUCGAUACUCUUGUCUAUGGCUAGGAUGGGUUGGAAACUAUGUCACGUCUUCCGUCCGUAUACCGUGGUGGCAUGUGGCACGUGGUUACACGUGAGGAAGAUGUGUCUUGUGGGUAAAGAUGUACACCACUGAUCAGAGUAUAAUCUAUUCGAAUAGCCGCGCCCUCGGUUAUGGGCAAGCCGAGCAAUGUACCCAAGUUAGUGUUUUAAUUCUUAAAACCUGCUUAACAACUAAAAGGUGGAACGGAUGGCCUGGGUUGGCUUGGGACGAGCUGGGACCCAGGGUCGGGUUGCCAGUUCGGUCUGAACCAUCGUAGGCCUUGGGUUAAGGCAGGCUCGUGUGGGUUCACGGCCUUGAUUAAUAAUAUUGUAUAGCUCUGGAAACGUGUUUACAAAAUAGCUUUGAGCAACUAAGUGUGUUUUAAUGCUGUUUACUGCAAACCCUAACCCUUUAUAUCAUAACCCCCUUGUACUCCUUUACAUUUAUCCUGCAUUUGUGGGUGUGUCUUGUUGAGUACGGUGGUUGUACUCAGUCUUGCUCAAUUUUUCCAAACCCAGAAGAGGAGUCCCUGGAAGAUGAAGGCUUUGGUGUCUAGCUCGUGCCUGCCGUCAAGCGCCUGUGGUCGUCGCCCUAGUCUUCCGCUGUUUCUCGUUUGUCUUUGUGUGUGCUGGGCCCUCGCUGCCCAUGUAAUAAAUUAACUAUUUACGCUUCCGCUUGAUAAACUCUGAAAUGUAUCAACUUUUGGUGUACCUUGCCUCCUAGGACAAGGAAUAAUACACGCACGUAAGGAACGCCCGUUGGGUUAAUUCCGGUCGUGACAGGAAUCCUCUUCGCUCCUUGCGAAACCGUCAAUGAUGCGAAGCAAGUACUCAAGUGUUUGUGGUUCCUUGUUGGCGAUUUUCCUUGUGAGUUCGCCUUUGUCGCGACCGAGAAAAUUGCCUUUUCCCGAACGCUAGUGUAUUAAUCCCCGUCCCAGGAAAAGCCGGGGUACACCACACAAACAUGAUAUAAAAGACACAUCUUUAUUAUAUCGAUAAUAUUUACAUUAUUACAAAGGCGCUUCAGGCCUGACAAUCAAAAAUAAACAGCAGCGGACUAGCGGGCCUACGGCUCCAUCUUCACAGGCGCUCAACUGGGGUAUAAGCCAGGACUCCACCUAAGACUUUUUCUCCAAAGCUUCUCUUACUGAAGGGGGGAGAAAGAUAGAGCAAGAAUGAGUACAACCACAGUACUCAGCAAGCCACACCGGCAGAUGCAUGAUUAAUGCAAGGGAGUACAAGGGGAUAAUAAUAGGGGUUAAGUUUUGCAGUAAACAGCAUUUAAAAGUCACUUAGUUUCCCAAAGCCAUUUUAAAAAGACGAUCCUAGAGUUACACAGUGUUAUUAAUCAAGGCCGUGAACCCUCACGAACCUGCCUUAACCCAAGGCCUACGAUGAUUCAGACCGAACUGGCAACCCGACCCUGGGUCCCAGCUCGUCCCAAGCCAACCCAGGCCAACCAUUCCACAUUUUAGUUGUUGAGCAAAUUUUAAGAAUUAAAAUACUAACUUGGGUACAUUGCUCGGCUUGCCCAUAACCGAGGGCGCGGCUAUUCGAACAGGUUAUACUCUGAUCAGAGGUGUACAUCUUUACCCACAAGACACGUCUUCCUCACGUGUAACUACGUGCCACAAACCACCACGGCAUAUGGACGGAAGACAUGACAUAGUUUCCAACCCAUCCUAGCCAUAGACAAGAGUACCGACCCAACCCCACCUACGGCCGGAACCUCCGGGACAGGUAGGCAGGAUUGAGCCCCUAGCAGCAGGACACCAGCCCUGUGCCAUGACAUCUCGACUACCGGGCCGCAGCUCGUGUAGCCUUCAUUUGUCCUAGAGAUGUCCAUCGACCCCCGACUUCGUCCAUCUCCAUCCGUGUACUUUUGUUUAUAACCAGACUGAGCCACAAACUAAGCCUUACCCACUAGACAUGUGGAAGUACGGUAGUGCUUUGCAACAGAGGCCCGAAGACCGGUCCUUAUAUGGCCGAGGUGCUACUAUCAAAACCAUGCACCCCGAGCCCAGCCUAAAACCAUUUUGGGGAUUUUGAAUAGAGGGGGCGGUGUGAAUCCAAUUCCACAAUAAACCAACAAUUCCAAAGUGUCCAGGUGAUAUGAAUAUCCCAAAGUCUAGAGUUGUAAAACCGCCUAAUGUUACCUAAUUAAUCAGCGAAGCAUCUACCUAAAAUUAUACUAGUGGUACUAUGAGUAGAGUGUCCACUAGUUGGGGUGUUGUUUAAUCUAGGGUGAACAAGGUAAUAAUAACAAUAACAAUAAUAAUAAGGUCAUAACAAAGGUAGAUAGGCAUGGCUAGAUAAAACAGUGAUAACGCGGGAAUUUAAAUAAAGCGAUAAUGCAAUAAUUUAAAGCAACAUAAUUUUAUAAACUGGGAUUCAAUAUGUUCAAGGAUGAUGUGACUUGCCUUGCUCGCUUUCCCAAACGUCGGCUUCAACUUCCACGAAGAGCGGAUCUUCCGAAGCUGCAGCGUCUACACGACCAACGGAAAAGAAAAGGCUUUUACUCUAAUAAACUCCAUAAAACAAGCAGAAACAAAGCACAAAAAUGGGUUCUUGACUUCUUAAGGAAAAAUUAGAGACUUGAACGGUCCAAUUCCGAGUUCAAAUGGCCAAGUUAUGGCCAUUUGAAGUUUAUAUGCUCUUUAAAUGAAUAUUUGCGAAUUUCUUCAUUUAAAUUUUAAUUUAAAAUCGGAUUUAUUGCGUCAGCCGAGGGGAGAGGGCGCGCGGACCGGGUCCACGGGAGUGGGGCCCACGCGGCAGCCUCACGGUCCACGGUGGACCGGGUGCACCCGGCUCACACCGGCCGGCGCCGUGGGUCCCAUGCGUUAGCCGCACCCGAGGGCGCGGGCGGCUGACGGCCGGGCCCCACAUGGCAGCCACUCGGCGCGCCCGAGGGCGGCCAAGCCAGCGCGGCCGGCGGGAGGCGGCGCGCCCGCGUCCCGAUGGUCGCCGCCGGCGACCACCGGCGCGGCGGAGCGGCGGCCGAGAGAAGGGAGGGAAGGGGGAAAGGAGGCGAUGGUCCACGGCUCACCCCGGGGCGACGGCGGCGACGGAGGAGGCGGCCGGAGCGGAGGGAGGUGGUGGCGCGGCUCGGGUCGACGGGGACGACGGCGCUCCGGCGGUCGGCGACCGAAACGGAGAGGUGGACGAGGUCGGCGAGGAUGCGGCGAAGCCGAAGGAGGCGGCGCCGAGGUGGGAGGCGGUCCGGGGUGACGACGGCGGCGGGCCGGAGCUCGGCGGCGACGGCGGAGAGAGAGAGCGACGUUGCGAGCUCAAAUCCGGCGAGGAGGAAGGGCGGCGAGAGGCGGAACCGGACGGAGGAGGUGCCGGGAGGGUUUAAAUAGAGCCGGGGCGAGAGAGGGUGGCCGGGGAAGGGAGGAAACCGGCGCGGGAGGUCGGCCGCCAUCAAUGGCGCUGGCGAGAUUUGCGGGGGCAAAUCCGCCCGUUUGAACGCGGGAGAGAGAGGGAGAAAUGGGGGGAAAGAGAGAGGGGAUCACGGGGAAUAAUUCCCCCCACUUUAAUGCGCGCGGGGACGGCGGGAGGCAGCGGGAUUCGCGGCGGCGGCGGCGCUAGGGCGCGGGCGGGGCGGCGGGAGCGGCGGGAGGAUAGGGAUGACAGGUGGGCCCCACCCGUCAGCGAGGGUGGCGGGCGGGCCCGCCCGUCAGCGGCGCGCGCGCGGGGAGAGGCCGAGUGGGCCGCGGGGAGGAGGAGAGAGAGGGAAGGAGAUGGGCCGAGCCGGCCCAAGAGGGGGAGGGGGGAAAAAGACUUUUUAGGGUUUUUCUUUUUAUAAAACCUUUUUAACUUUGUUUAUUUCUUCUUAAUUAUUAUUUGUGCUCUGAAAAUUCCACUAAAAUUUGAGGGCUCCUUUUAGACCAAGGAGAAUUUAACAAAAAUUCUCCGGGCCACAUUUGAAUUUUUCUUAUACACAUUUUAGUGUUUGCCAAUUUCUUUUCGAAUUUUAAUUAAUUCUAUUAUUCCUUUUAGCGAAUGAUUUUUAAUUCGGGAUGAAUUUAUCAGGACGUGACAAAUCCACCCCCCUUACAAGAAUCUCGUCCCCGAGAUUCGAGGAGGCUAGCAUGAAGAUAGGUUGGGCGGUCUUCUCUUCUUGUCUGACUUCUUCUGCUCCGUCUUCUAUAACAAACUUGCCUAACAAAACUUCUCCACUCUGGACUGCUUGGCUCGAUCUCCUGUUGCAGAUGGAAUCUUCUCUUCACCCGACUUGUCCUUGGUUGAACCUUUAGCUGACUUCGACUGGGUCGCGGCACUUGAAGAUGGUGCUUUAGUUCCAGAACUUCGCAUAGUUCAUAUUUUUGGCGUCAACCUCAUAGAAGUUACCCAUUUCAUGUUAUGCGUCGAGAUCAGCUCGUCAUUACUAGGAUACCAUGCUUGUCAUCAUGAGAAUAUCAUGCUUGUCAUUUACUUCUAACUUGCCACCAACUGCCUCAUAUUAGCUUCCCUGGUCUCCGGGUGAUAGCUACUUCUGCUAUUUGAUGCAAGGGUCAACCACUCUAACUAUAAGUUACGCUUCCCAAGAGAACCAAUUUAUCCCACUUGACAUGCUUUGACGUCUUCCCGAAUGACUUUGCUGCUGGACUUGUUAUUGUCUGAUCGUGAUCCUGCCAGAUCUGAAGCUUCGUUGUUAGAUGUGAUUUUGAUCUGACCUCUAUAGAUUAUCUUCAAACAUAUCACUUGUUCCAGAACUGGGAAUGGCUCUCACGAACAAGCGGCUCGGAUUCACUUUCUUUACAUUUAGUUCACUUCCCACUAUUCUCUUCAUGUUGUCAUCAUUUAGCAUUCAACGUAUUCCUUUGCACCUUCAGCCUUGAUGUGUUCUUUCUCGAUGGAUCGAUUGCUAGGAAAGUGCGUUGAACGAUACUAGUGCAAGUGCUUUUAUUCUGGUAGCAUCUGAUACAAAGCCCAAGGUUGAACCGAGCUUUAGAUUCCACUGUUCAGGUUUUACUUCUUGACUUCUUGGUCAUGUCACAAAAGUUUCCAUCCUUGUCCCCAUAGAAGUACUUCUACCUGUGGUCAUCUCUCUUACUCGUGAAUUCACCUUCUUUAAUGACAGGGCAACUGUUGUAGGGUUGAUUGCUAUCGGGAGUCUUCCUCGAGUGACACAAAUCAUGGUUCUCGUUAUCCUUUAUCAAUCACCUUUCGACCUACUUCUUUUCCCAGUAACCAAACAUCUUUUCCGAUCUCUUCCAUUAAUCACCUUUCGACCUUUCUCAACCAGGUACUCUUCGCUCCGGGUGUUGAGGAUGCUUCUGGGGCAAUGAGGUCCUUGGGCGUGCUGUCUUUCAGAGAAACCUUGAAGUAGUUCGUCAAAAGCUAGACUGACGAUUGUUGCCUUUGAUCCGAAGAAGACACAUCUGGAACUCUUAGUCCAAACAAAUGUCUCUUUGGUUGAUCACUUGAUUUUCUUCGCCAUCAAUCGCUAGGUUAUUUGAUUCAUAACAGAUUAUGAGCUUACGGAAAUGAGACCCUAGGUCUCCCUAAUCAGCAACAAAAGGUACACAACUCACAGCACUUGCAAUCUUAACAUGGAUCCUUCAUAAACUUAUCAAACUCCUUCAUAAUCUCAUGUUUCUCUGUUAUUACAUGAUUGACGGGAACAACUAUAAAACAAAAGUAUUUGAACACUGAUAUAAGAGUAUUAUGGUUGCUUCUGACUAGCGCUAGGCUUAACAGGUACUGCAUUUGCUCCAGGGACCACUUGGCGAUUGGCAUGCCUCCUUCCUUAACAGGUACUACAGUUGUAACAGACAAUAACUUUCUUACGCUCGGGUUCUUCAUCUUGUACUUGAUUUCUUGGCUGCUGUGCUGGAACAUCCAAAGGUACAAUGUCGAUACUGGCCUCUGUCUUGUCAACUGGUGGCUGGGGCUGAAAUUGAGCAUUGACACCUUGUGGUAAUGCACUCGCUGGAGUUGGAGCUGUUGCAACGCGGGCUAUAGGACUGCUUCGGGAUGCAUGGAUGACAACUCGCUGAGGAGUAUGUCGCGACCGGGAAAAUUGCCUUUUCCCGAACGCUAGUGUAUUAAUCCCCGUCCCAGGAAAAGCCGGGGUACACCACACAAACAUGAUAUAAAAGACACAUCUUUAUUAUAUCGAUAAUAUUUACAUUAUUACAAAGGCGCUUCAGGCCUGACAAUCAAAAAUAAACAGCAGCGGACUAGCGGGCCUACGGCUCCAUCUUCACAGGCGCUCAACUGGGGUAUAAGCCAGGACUCCACCUAAGACAUCUUCUCCAAAGCUUCUCUUACUGAAGAGGGGAAGGAUUGAGCAAGAAUGAGUACAACCACAGUACUCAGCAAGCCACACCGGAGAUGCAUAAUUAAUGCAAGGGGGUACAAGGAGUAAUAAUAAAGGGGGUUAAGUUUUGCAGUAAACAGCAUUUAAAAGUCACUUAGUUGCCCAAAGCCAUUUUAUAAAGACGAUCCUAGAGCUAUACAGUAUUAUUAAACAAGGCCGUGAACCCUCACGAACCUGCCUUAACCCAAGGCCUACGAUGAUUUGGACCGAACUGGCAACCCGACCUGGGUCCCAGCUCGUCCCAAGCCAACCCAGGCCAACCAUUCCAAAUUUUAGUUGUUGAGCAAAUUUUAAGAAUUAAAACACUGACUUGGGUACAUUGCUAGGCUUGCCCAUAUCCGAGGGCUCGGCUAUUCGAAUAGAUUUACUCUGAUCAGAGGUGUACAUCUUUACCCACAAGACACAUCUUCCUCACGUGUUACCACGUGCCACAUACCACCACGGUAUACGGACGGAAGACGUGACAUAGUUCCCAACCCAUCCUAACCAUAAACAAGAGUACCGACCCAAUCCCACCUGCGGCCGGGAUACCCGGGACAGGCAGGCAGAACUGAGCCCCUAGCAUUGGGCACCAACCCUCCGCCGUAUGACAUCUCGACUACCGGGCCGCAGCCCGUGUAGCCUUCAUUUGCCCUGGAGAAUGUCCAUCGACGCCCGACUUCAUCCAUCUCCAAUCCGUGUACUUUUGUUUAUGACUAGGCUGAGCCACAAACUAAGCCUUACCCAUUAGACAUGUGGAAGUACGGUAGUGCUUUGCAACAGAGGCCCGAGCUUAAUCCUUAUAGUGGCCGGGGUGCUACUUCCCAUAACUGGCAUGCACCCAAACCCCACCGAAAACAGGUUUUAGGGGUUUUGAAAGAGGAAGAGAGGUGUAUGUCCAAUUCCAACAUAAUCCAACAAUUCCAUAGUGUCCAAAUGAUAUGAGAAUCCCCAAAGUCUAAAGUUAUAAAAACCACCUAAUGUUGCCUAAUUAUUCCGCGAAGCAUCUACCUAAAUUCAUACUAGUGGAACCAUGAAUAGAGUACCCACUAGUUGGGGUUUUGUUUGCCUAGGGUGAACAAGGUAAUAAUAAUAACAAUAACAAUAAUAAUAAGGUCAUAACAAAGGUAAAUAGGCAUGGCUAAGUAAAACAGUGAUAACGCGGGAAUUUAAAUAAAGCGGUAAUGCAUUAAUUUAAAUCAAAAUAAUUUUAUAAACUGGGAUUCAAUAUGCUCAAGGAUGAUGUGACUUGCCUUGCUCGCUUUCCCAAACGCCGGCUUCAACUUCCACGAAGAGCGGAUCUUCCGAAGCUGCAGCGUCUACACGACCAACGGAAAAGAAAAGGCUUUUACACUACUAAACUCCACACAACAACAGAAACAAAGCACAAAAAUGGGUUCUUUACUUCUUAAGGAAAAAUUAGAGACUUGAACGGUCCAAUUCCGAGUUCAAAUGGCCAAGAUAUGGCCAUUUGAAGUUUAUAUGCUCUUUAAAUGGAUAUUUGCGAAUUUCUUCAUUUAAUUUUCAAUUAAAAAAUCCCAUUUAUUGCGUCAGCCGAGGGGCGAGCGCGCGGACCGGGUCCACGGGAAGUGGGGCCCACGCGUCAGCCGCUCGGUCCACGGUGGACCGGGCGCACGCGGCUGGCGGCGGUCGGCGCCGUGGGUCCCGCGCGUCAGCCACACCCGCGGGCGCGGGCGGCUGACGGCCGGGCCCACUUGGCAGCCGCGAGGGCGCGCCCGAGGGCGGCCUCGCCGGCGCGGCCGACGGGAGCGGCGCGCACCCGCGCCCCGAUGGUCGCCGCCGGCGACCAACGGCGCGGCGGAGUGGCACCCGAGAGAGAGGAGGGAAGGGGGAAACGAAGGGGACGGUCCACGGCUCACCCCGAGACAGCGAAGGCGGCGGAAACGGCGGACGGAGCGGAGGAAGACGGCGGCGCGGCUCGGGAUGACGAUGACGACGGUGCUCCGGCGGUCGGCGGGCGAAACGGAGGCGCGGACGAGGUCGACGGCGAUGCGGCGAUGCCGAGGGAGGUGGCGCCGAGUCGGGAGGAAGUCCGGAGCGGCGGCGGCGGCGAACCGGAGGUCGGCGGCGAUGGCGGAGAGAGAGGUGGACGUCGCGAGCACGAAUCCGACGGCGAGAGCAAGCGGCGAACGGCGGAAACGGAAGAGCGGAGCUCGGGGAGCAAUUAUAUAGCACCGAGAGGGGGAGAACGCGGCCGGGGAGAGAGGAAACCGCGCGCGGAGAUCUCGGGCGCCAUUGAAGACGCCGGCGAACUUCGCGGGAUGAAUCCGGACGAAUCCGAGGGAGAGAGAGAGGGAAAAGAGGGGGAAUCGGGAGAGGGAAACGCGGGGAGUAAUUCCCCCCUCAUUAAGGCGCGCGGGGAAGGCGGGAUGCGGCGGAUUUGGCGGCGGCGGCGGCGCUAGGGCACGGGCGGUGACGGGCGCGGCGCGAGGAGGAAGAUGACAGGUGGGCCCCACCCGUCAGCGAGGGUGGCGGGUGGGCCCGCCUGUCAGCGGCGCGCGCGCGGGGGAGCCGAUGGGCCGCGGGGGAAGAGAGAGAGAGAGGGAGGGAAUGGGCCGAGCCGGCCCAAGAGGGAAAAGGGGGGGGAAACAGACUUCUUUUAGGGUUUUCUUUUUAUAAAACCUUUUCCACUUUGUUCAUUUCUUAAUAAUUAUUAUUUGUGCUCUGAAAAUUCCACUAAAAUUUGAGGGCUCCUUUUAGACCAAGGAGAAUUUAACAAAAAUUCUCCGGGCCACAUUUGAAUUUUUCUUGUACGUAUUUUAGGGUUUGCCAAUUUCUUUUCGAAUUUUAAUUAAUUCUAUUAUUCCUUUUAGAAGAUGAUUUUUAUUUUGGGAUGAAUUUAUCAGGACGUGACAAAUCCACCCCCCUUACAAGAAUCUCGUCCCCGAGAUUCGAGGAGGCUAGCAAGAAGAUAGGUGGGGCGGUCUUCUCUUCUUGUCUGACUUCUUCCGUUGCGUCUUGACGAACUUCCAGCAAAACUUUACCACUCGGAACUGCUUGGCUUGACCUCCUGUUGCGGAUGGAAUCUUCUCUUCACCUGACUUGGACCAGGGUUGCACCUUUAACUGACUCAGACUAGGCUGCGGUGGUUGAGGAUGGGGCUUCAGUUCUAGAACCUCUUAUCAUUCAUAUCUUUGGCGUCAACCUCAUACCAGUUACCACCUUCGUGACAUGCGUCGACAUCAGCUUUGUCAUUACUAGGAUAUCAUGUUUGGCAACUUGCCCCUAACUGCCUCAUAUUAGCUUUCCUGGUCUCCGGGUGCUAGCUACUUCUGCUAUUCGAUUCGAGGGUCGAUAACUUUGCCUUUGAAUUAUGCUUCCCAAGAGAACCAACUUAUCCCACUUGAUAUACUUUGACGUCUUCCCAAAUAGUUUUACUGCUGGACUUCUUAUUGUCUGAUAGUUAUCCGGCCAAAUUUGAAGCUUCGUUGUUAGAUGUGAUUUUACUCUGACCUCUGUAGACUAUCUUCGAUCAUAUCACUUGGUUCAUAACUGGGAAUAGCUCCCACGAGCAAGCAACGCAGAUUCACUUUCUUUACAUUCGGUUUACUUCCCAUUAUUAUCUUCGGGUUGUCCUCAGUUAGCAUUCAACGUAUUCCUUUACACCUUUAACCUUGAUGUGUUCUUUCCCAUUGGAUCAUCUCCCAAGACUUGGCAUUACCUGGUAACCGGUGCUUGCACUUUUUACUUCGUGUAGCAUCUGAUACCGAGUUGAAGAUUUCACUCCUUGCCUUCAUAGAAACACUUUUACCUAGGUCAUCUUGCUUACUUAAUGACAAGGUGACUGUUGCGGGGCAAUUACAAUCAGGGGUCUUCCAUGAGCGAUGCAGAGCAUGUUUCUGUUUAUCAAUCACCUUUCGGCCUACUUCUUUCAUGCUAGAGAACAUCUUUGCCAAUCUCUUUUAUCAAUCUUCUUUCGGCUUAUCUCUAACAGGUGGUAUUCUUUAAUGUGGAUUGCGGACGCUUCUGGGGAUGAUGAGGUCCUUUGGCUUGCUGCCUUUCAGUGAAACCUUGAGGGAACUACAUUGCUUGCUAUUUGUAUCUACGCCACUAGGGUUUAAUUGCCGAUGAUCAUCUUUAGUGCUUCCUCGAGGUGGGGAGCAUCCAAAUUGUUCUUCUGCCAUAUCACCUUUGUUCCUUUUCUGAUACUUGAUAGACUAAUUACCAACCAUCGACUAUUAUGUUCUCAAAUAUUGAUGUCUCCUGGAUCUUUGUAACUAUUUGCAGGUAUAUCCGAACUUAUCAAUGUAGAGGCAUGGCGGGUACCCUUAGGGGUUUCCUCCAACCAUCCUUAUCUUGAUCUGUAAAAGGCGUAUCCAAACUCCUAUCCUCAAUUACUGUCUCGUUGGCUUUUUAACCCACCACAGUUUAAUUGUUUUCCUUUUCCAUCCACGGGUUGGUUAUUAACUCGAGGUUAGAAUAUAGUUCCUCUGACACGAGACCCUAGGUCUCCUUUGUCAGUCAACAAUUAUACACAUGAUCACAUAUCCGCAUCUUUCAAACGAAUCCUCAUGGAACUUGUCUGUAUUACACAUUUCUCCCUCAUUACAUGAAUACGAGGCACUGCCUUAAACCAAAAAGGGACGGUGCUUAACAUCGGUACAUUGUAUUCUCAAUAUGAAUCAUCCAUAAGCAUAGCAAGCUCACUGUUUAUAGACAUGAAUAUAUUUAUGUAUUACAUGAUUGCUGCAAACUUUCGAUUACACCAUGAUAAGUAGCGGACUGAAAACCACAAACAUGGCUGCUCAUUUUGAUUCUGGAGAGAUAUAGCUGGCAUUAUUCCAGUGACUGCAUCCUCGAUUGGUUCUGUGAUGAUGUGAUAGGACUGCAUAAUGCUAUCAUUCACCGGAGAAGCUUCCUUCUGAUUGCUGGUUGAAGCGGAUGACGGUCUUCUGCUUGGGAUCGCCCUCCGGAGGUUGAUUGCUCUUGGCUCGGCCUGGAGUAGGUCGGGGAGAGACACAACUUCUUCCAUCUACGACAAUUCUUUGCUGAGGCUGUCGGUGCAGAGAAUGGUUGCUAUGAUUUAUUGCAGAGUCAGGUGCAGCAGGAGGAGCACUGGUGCAUUGUUUCUGCUAUGGGUUCUGAUUAACACGAGGCCUUACGGGUACGGCGUUUGCUCCAGUGACCACAAUACGAUUGGAAUGUCUGCUUCGUGUAAAUUGGCGGUAAUGUGGAGGUCGAUUUUGCCUUGGUUGGGGACAGUUUUUGGAGUAAUGUCCUUCUUCACUGCAGUUGUAACAAACAACAACUUUCUUACACUUGGGUUCUUCAUCUUGUACUUGAUUUCUCAGCUGCUGGAUUGGAACUUCCAAAGGUACAACGCAGAUACUGGCCUCUGUCUUGUCAGCUGGUGGCUGGGGCUGAAAUUGAGCAUUGACACCUUGUGGUAGUGCACUCAUUGGAGUUGGAGCUGUUGCAACGCGGGCUAUAGGACUGCUUCGGGAUGCAUGGAUGACAAUUCGUUGAGGAGCAAGCUUCUGAUUGCAGGGAGUUGCGUGGACUGACGUGCCGGCAGCUAUGUUUCUCGGUUUUGGGCACUUGUCGGCGAAAUGACCCAUUCCUUGACAAUUGAAGCAACAGAUGUCUUCCCGGACUCGGCAUUUUCUUUUCUCAUUUCGAUUCCUCUGUCCUGGCACUGGAGUUAGGCUGAAACUGUGAUCUUGGCGGGGAUUUGUGUUGCCUUGAUGCUUCUCUCCGUUGGAACUGGCGGGUUGGUUGGCCAUCUUCUUCGUCAGCGGAAAACUGAAUUGACAAUCUUUUGGUACAUGAUCAGUUCCUUCACAAAAGAAACAAGUGAUCCUGCUCGUUGGACACCUGUCGGGUGGAUGGUCUUCCUCACAAUGAACGCAUGUAGAGGCACACGAGCUGGCAACAUGUCCGAUUUCUCCACAACGAGAGCAUGCCUUAAGUUCUAUUUUAUUCUGGUUAAAACCUUGGGGAGACUUCGCAUCUUCAUCAUCUGAGGAGACUUGAUCUGAAUCUUCACUACCAGACACUCUACCUCCAUUAGCUAAAAGAUGCUCUGUCAACUGUGGUGCACCUCGGAAGGUGUUUCUUCUCUGACGUCUUGUCGUUCCUGGUGGAGGCCAUUCUGUGCUGGUAAUAGUCAUCUUACGUACUUCUUCUUCAGUUCGCAUUGGUGUUUUUCUUUUCUGCUGAGGACGCUCCCUUGCAUAGUGCACUUGCUCAUCACACGUAAAAGCAAAUGUUACUUGCUUCUUUUGGGUCAACAGGUGGCACGUCAUCAUGGGUCCUUCGGGAUGCUGGCGGCAUGCUGACUUGUGGGGUGAGUGCUUGGACUGCCUCCAACUGCACCUGAGGUUGUAUUUGACUCAGGUUCAGAAUUGGCGUCUGAUGCUGCUGUAGCAUCUCUAUAAGCAAUCGGUUCUGGUUAAUCAGGUGUUGGACCAGUGUCACACAACUGGUGUCUGGUGCUUCAUUCACUCGGGAGCUUGGGGUACCAAUGCCCUGACUUCGGACCUUAUUGCCUUUCUCAUUGUCAGCUAUCUGUUGCAAAGGUUUGGAGAGGGAGAGAGGGAAAACAAAGGGGAGAGACAGAUUAGAAACUAAGGAUAGGACCUUAAAGGAACUAACUCUUCUUACUGAUGUGUUGUUUGUUUCACUUAUUCUGCAAGUUGGUUAAGCAAACAACCUAGCAUGGUUACAUCACAACCCACCGAUGCAAACCACGCGCUACACACACAAGCAAGGAAACACACGACAAACGAAACACUAGAGGGUGGCUUAGGUUCUGCGACGGGUUUUCCAAGAUCUUCACUCCUGCUUCACAGCUGGCUUCACUGCUUCCUUUGCUGCGCUGACGGAUCCAACAGUCUUCUGGAGCUUCGACAAACAAUUGACGGCACCUUCUUCUUCACAAAACUAACCAUCUAGUACUUAGUUGAAAUCCGAAGAAGGAAGAAGGGAGUAAACCUUUUGCAAAUAGCAUUAGGGGAAGGAGAAAAAGAGGAGCUUUCGCAAAUAGUUUCAUUUAUAAAAUAUGUCCUUAGGUUUUAUCCACUUGGCUUAUCCUACAGUCGAGAUGGCUCUGAUACCAGCUUGUCGCGACCGGGAAAAUUGCCUUUUCCCGAACGCUAGUGUAUUAAUCCCC